CAGAUCAGUGGAGACAUGUUAUUAUUAUUACUAUUUAGUUUUUCUUUAGUUGUUUUUCCGUUACAUUGGAGUAUGACAGGUGAGGCUCUGCCUCCCCUGCCUCCCCUGACUGCACGUCGCUGGUCUAGAUAUAUUAAAUAAUCAUAAUAAUAAUGUAAAUGUUACACUUCUUUAUUUGUUAUGCUCAUAGUUUACCUUUACUAUCGUUUGCUUUAAUAUGCAGUAUAUUUUUUGUAAUAUUUUGUUUGGUGUUUGCUUCCUCCUGCUCCCUUUCGGACACAUACUGUAAGGAUUUGCAGUACUCCCUCCUUCUGCUUCCCUUUUUGUUUGUUGUCUGUUGUUGUCAGUCUGUCUGUGUUUGUCUCCCGGGCUGGGCGUGGCUGACCUACUUCUGGUUCCCGCCAAUUCAUCUCCGCAGCUGCUUCUCAUUCAUCCUGAUCAUCUACUCAUCCACACCUGCUUAUUAACCCGGUCUCCUCAUCCAGUCUUCACCAGUUCGUCGUCAAGAUUACACUGAACCCAUCAUCACCUCCUCCGCUAGCCACGUCCAGCCACUUCCUCGUCGGAUUCAUCCGCUCUCCACGCUACCAGCUCAAGCCUGCUCGCUCCCCUCGGCUCUGAAACCCCCACACUCCUGUCCGGUUGGACAAACCCUAACUCCUGCUCCAACCUACUCGCUCUCGGGAGUGUAAAGACACAGGCUCAACCCUCCUUUCAUCUGCCUGGCGAUAUCCCCAGCUCACUCCGGAGCCUCGGCUGAGGAUCCCCAUUCCCUCGCUUUUUUAUCCCCUUUUCUGGACUAUAUUAACAACAGUUAGUAUCCCCUGUCACGAUUUGUAAUUAAAACCUUUAGCUG